rnacentral:rRNA from 1 species
CCGCUGAAUUUAAGCAUAUAACUAAGCGGAGGAAAAGAAACCAACCGGGAUUCCCCCAGUAACGGCGAGUGAAGCGGGAACAGCCCAGCGCCGAAUCCGCCGCGGCUGCCAGCCCGGCCGGAACUGUGGCGUGUGGGACGCGGCCAGUCGGCAGGGAGAACGCCAAAGUCCCCCCGAGCGGGGCCCAUCCCAGAGCGGGUGCCAGGCCUCUGCCGGCGUUCACCCGGUCGGCCGCCGCCGUCCCCGGAGUCGGGUUGCUUGGGAAUGCAGCCCGAAGCGGGAGGUAAACUCCUCCUAAGGCUAAAUACCGGCGCGAGUCCGAUAGCGGACAAGUACCGCGAGGGAAAGUUGAAAAGAACUUUGAAGAGAGAGUUC